CGCCGGCACUGGGGAAGGGGGUACCCAGGGCUGGGGGCUGCGGGGUGGCAGCGGGCAGCCAGGGAGAAACGAGAAGCCACCCCUGAAAGUACACAGGGGUACAGCAAGCAGCCUGGCUGGUCCAGGCAGGGAGCAUGGGCACGGGAGCACAUCUGCAGCGAUAAGAGGUUUGGUAAAUAGUCUCUGAGGAGAAGCGGGGGAACUGGGUUUGUUGAGUCUAGAGGAGAAGGCUGGAAGUAGGGCAGGACAUGAUAACGUGGUUGCAGUCUAUGAGAGGUUGUUAUUAAGAAAGGCAGCGGUUACAUUGCUGGAAGGACAAAGAUAAGAUCUAAUCGGCUUAAUUUUCAGGAAAGAAAAGAAGAAAGGAAAAAAGAAAAAAGGCUAGAUGUUGCAAAAACUUUCUCUGAGUAGGGCAGUGAUGGGAUAGAUUACCCAGGGAGGUUGUGAAACCCACUUCACAGGAAGCUGUGAGAAGUUACGCAAACGCCACCGUGAUCUCUCAGUAAAGGACAGACUGCCAGGCUAUUUCUCUGCCUUUGGAAAGUAAAGGUCCAUCUCCUUUCUUCUACCAGCCCUUCUCCUCUGUUAUCUCCCGCUCUCAUGUAACAGCCUGCAGGGUUGUGUCCUGCAGAGGAGCCCUGGCCACUUCUGUGUUCUAUGGGGCACUUCUAUUCCUAAAGAAAUGCUUUUGGGCUGGGCCAAUCUCACAGCAAGAUUAUACAGUCAUCUCUCCACCAUCUGAGGUUAUGAGGCCAUAGGAUGCCUCAGACACUGGAAAAAAAAAACCAGAUCAAAUGGUUCUUUUGGAACUCACCACAGAGCAGAACACUCACAACAUAUAGAGUAUACUGAGGCAUGCAGACCUUCCCAGUCCAUCAGGGGAUAUUAAGUCCACCAGGACAUCUUAACUCCAUCACCUAAAGGAUACAGAGUCAGGGAGGUUUUCUGGAGAUUCUGCAUUGGGUGUCUAAUGAAAUCAUCUAAUCAGAUGCUGAAUUCAGUCCAGCCUUUCAGCACCAAAUGGUCCCACUACCAGUAACUCCAGUAAGCUUGGCCAGCCAGUGCUAAUGGCACAGCUGGUUAGGGCUAUGUCCUGACUGGACAGCUUGUUGGCAGUCCCUGGGCAAUACUAGGAGGUGUCCC
rnacentral:lncRNA from 1 species